rnacentral:lncRNA from 1 species
AUUAUAUCUAUGCAAUGCCUUUGCUCAGGUUAAAGAAUGGAAUAAAAGUCUAGCAUCAAAUGUAUAGCUAACUAUUUUAAUUUGUGAUCAGAGCAACUGAUCUCCGUUCAAUUUUUAUCAUCAAAAGUUAGUUCUACCUUCGCAGGACCUCUGCUCUACUUACCUCCUCUCUGGUUAAAGAAUGGAAUAUAAGUCUCAUUUAUCAAGUUGGUGUAAAAAUUUAGCUUGAUAAAUUAAGAAGUUGUAAACUUUAUUAUCACAAUUGCCAAGUUGACCAAAUGUUCUUCUGGUUUUAAAUGAAUUAUGUAUGAGUCUAGUAUCAACUGGGUGUUCAAAGAUAGUUUACUGCUUGAAGAACUUAUCAAUGGACCAACUAAUUAUAAAACAGUUUUUAAUGAAAAUAAAAACGAAUUAUCAAAAGA